AUAUCUCUAGAUACUUGUUUAUCCUUGUUUUAGUUAUCAACUUGUUGUAGACACCUUAUAUGUUGUAGGCAUAUGACGGGUCUGAACACGCACCGGGCGGGCUUUCGCUGGGUCCCGGGGCGUGACAGCAAAUGCGUUGAUGAGAGAGAUCUAGCUUGCUCUAUAGGGAUCAGAGAUGUUAUGAUCUGGUAUAGUUUGGUGAUUUGGGGUAUGGACGAGAUUUGGAGUUGUAGAGUUAUAUUUGUAGGAUGGUGGCUUAAUAUAAUACUCAUCACUUUUGAUUCUUCUCGUUAUUGAUCGCACCAAUCAUUUUCUGUAUGAAGAGCAAAACGAAAUGAGAAUAUAUUUGGGAUGAGAAAAUAUGAAUAAGUACCAAAUGUGUACGAGUGAGAGAUGUUAGAAUUCGUCCACAUUAGGACUUAUCUAAAAUAUUCCUAAUCCAUAUGGGAUAAGGAAUAAAUAUUGAAACAUAUCUAAAAUAUUCCUAGUCUACAUAGGAUAAUGUCGCGCCCCGCGACCGCCAAUUUGGUCGGUUCGGUUAUACCAACAGACAUCAAACAGACAGAAUCUUCUCUGUGCGCCCAAGGCUCCACCAACGAUCAACAUGUAUAGCAAUUCAUACAUAGAGAGAAUUCGAGUAUACAUGACUUGCACGAGGGCAAGAAACAACCAAAACAAGCGAAAGUACUACUAGCUAUUACAUCCAUACAAGUAAUUUGAUUUUUUUUAACCAAUUACAAGCUUUUCAUAUAUUACAUUCUCUUUCCAAUAAACAUCACAUAACCACAUAUAAAUUUACAUCAUUUAUACAUCAUCAUACACAAAAGAUGAU
rnacentral:lncRNA from 1 species